AGGUGCUGCACAGACUUGAGGGAUGUACAGACCAGAACAGAUCAGAGAUCCACUUGGUCGCAGAAUGAGACAGACUGAAGCUCCCUCAGACAAAAACGCAGCAAAUCAUUUUCCCGACAGCCCAUCCUCUGAAAGAAUUUUCCAUUGGAACAACAGACGACAGAAAAACAACUAUUCAUGGUGCAAACUGAUCAUCUAGAAACUACUUCGCUUCACAGCAGCCACAUUCCCGUGUGUGUGAUGUAAACGUUGACUGCGCAAAAUUUGGCGCCAGUGCGCACGAUGGAUGAACUUUUAUCCGCACAAGAUGCUUGGCUUCAGAACUUUUCCUAUUGUAACUACAGCCAUUUAAACAAGACUCAUCCAGGGAACAACGUGGUAAACCCUUUAAAGCGAAACGAAGAAGUGGCCAAAGUGGAAGUUACUGUCCUGGUGCUGGUGCUUUUGCUGGCUCUGACGGGUAACCUGUGCGUCCUGUGGGCUAUCCACACCACCAAGCACAGCAAGUCUCGGAUGUAUUACUUCAUGAAGCACCUGAGCAUCGCAGAUCUUGUUGUGGCCGUUUUUCAGGUCCUGCCGCAACUCAUUUGGGACAUAACAUUUCGCUUUUACGGACCAGAUAUUAUCUGCAGGCUCGUCAAAUAUCUCCAAGUUGUGGGCAUGUUUGCGUCCACCUACAUGCUGGUCCUGAUGUCCAUCGAUAGAUGUUUAGCAGUCUGCCAGCCGCUUCGCUCUGUGCACAAGGGGAAAGAUCGCUUCUGUGUCAUCGGAUCCUGGAUCCUCAGUCUGGUGUUCAGCACCCCACAAGCUUACAUCUUUUCUCUCAGGGAGGUCGGGAAUGGCGUCUACGACUGCUGGGGGGAUUUCGUGCAACCCUGGGGUGCAAAAGCCUACAUCACAUGGAUGAGUCUGAGCAUCUACAUAAUUCCAGUAGCGAUAUUAGGCAUCUGCUACGGUCUGAUAUGUUUUAAAAUAUGGCAGAAUAUUAAUAUGAAAACCAAGAGGGAGCACUUUUUGGCUCUGACGCCGAGGCCGUCCAAGAGCGCACAUCCACUCUCACGCGUCAGCAGCGUCAGGCUCAUUUCCAAAGCCAAGAUCCGCACGGUGAAAAUGACAUUUGUGGUGGUUAUUGCUUACAUCGUAUGCUGGACUCCUUUUUUCUUUGUUCAGAUGUGGUCUGCAUGGGAUCCAGCUGCACCAAGAGAAGACAUGGCCUUCAUCAUCUCCAUGUUGCUUGCUAGCCUUAACAGCUGCUGUAAUCCCUGGAUCUAUAUGCUCUUUGCCGGUCACCUGUUCCAUGACCUGAUAAAGAGCUUCUGCUGCUGCUGCAGAAACUAUGUUGCAGACUCAUCCUGCCAAUGCAAUCAGGAGUGCAGGCACAAGAGAGGCUCCUCCACGUUCGACAUCAAAAACGGCAGCAGUAUGAGGAGCUUGACUCACACAUCCAGCCUGGGGGGACCCACACACUGAACUGGCCAAAAGUCUAAAGCUUCCUGUGGUUGACUUGGUGCAGCAAUCCUGCAAAAUUUUGAUUUAGGCUUUUAAUCAUCUUCAGCAGAACUGAGCUUGCCUUGUCAAAUACAGUAUAUUAAACUCAGUCAAACAGAAAACAUAAACCUCCUGUCUGGAAAAGACUUUGCACCCUAUGAUAACAGAAAGUAGAACAAAACAACAUUUUAUCCAAAAUGUUAACUAAAUGGGCUGCAAAGAAAGGUUCCAAACAGAGCCUGAUCUGGUGCACAUUUCAACAUGGCAGUGUUCAAAUAUUCCCCAACAGCUUCUGUCAUCCCAACUGGACUGGACACAAUAGACCAGAUUUUGAUUGAUGAAGUUGAAAAUGUUAGCUGAGAAGACAGAGGACAGUUAAAUGUAUAAGGUUUUGAGAAGGGACAUGUUUAUGUAUCUGUAAAAGUACCUAGAAAAAGACAAGAGACUAUUUACUGAAUCUUUAGAUUGCUAGACUUGUCUGCUAUCUCUUAAGUUAAUUCACAUAUAAACAUUCUUUAGAUAUGUUUGUUUUUGCUCUUCAGAUUUAUAUUUUAGAUAUAUUAACUAUAGUUGCUUGCAAAGGUUGUGCUUUGGUAAUUAGUCAUCAGAGCUGCCAAGUUUUCCACAACAGAAUAAGGUACACCAAAACUUUUGAAAAAUAAAAAAUCCUUCAGGAAAUGUCAUUAAUCUUUACUAAUAAGUUAUGAAUAAAUCAUUGAUACCUGAAAAAAAAUGCCUGAAGCAAUGGUAAAAAAAAAAUGGGAAGUUUGUUUCUUCUUAUAGUGUAUGUAAGAAGCUGUAAAUACUUGUGUAUGAAUGUACAAAUACAUAAGUCACUUUGAUGGAUAGCAGAUUCUAAUUCAGAAAAUCAUGCUGAUAAAACAUCAAUACAUUCCAAUAUUUUAUAUUGAUUUUCCCUGAUACUUAACAACGUAAGUCGUUAUCUUUGAGAUACAGAUUAAGAUUCUGAUCAAGAUCCUAAUUUUUUACAAAUCAUGAUGGUUUCCUGGUUGUUCUGAAUUUUCUGAAAAAUUGACUGUUUUGCAGACCUUAGGGUAAUUUGAGAUCUGUAACAAAAAAAAGCUGUGAAGACAAGUAACAGCACGAUUGUCUCCUGAGGUCUGCCUUUAUCUUUACAGGAGAUGUCAUAUGAAAAUCAUAAUAAUGGGUAUAUGUGUCAGAACAUUAAAAGACCUUGUAUAAAACCACCCUGGCAGGGUGUUGCAGCUCCUCUGUGUGAAAAUAAAUAAUUCAGAGAUCAUUCUGAUUUAAAUGGAUUGACACAUCAAAGGCUAAACCUAGAGGAUUCUUCUAUUCUAUUUUGUCUAACCAUAUUUAUCCCAUCUUAACUUUAAAUCAGAAUAUUAUCUUACUUCAAAACUAAUGAAAAAUGCUCCCCUUUUGUUUUUUUGUCCUUUUACAGAAUUUUUUUUCAUAGUUAAACAGUAACCUCACCACGUGAAACAACUUGAAGGCUCUAAACAUAGAUGAAAACCUCUAAUUGGCAUCCUGCAAUUUUUCCAAGUAUAAUGUUAGAAAAUGUAGGUUUUCUGUUUUAUGAAUCCAUACAGUAAGGCUUACGGUUAUUCAUAUUCUUUCAGAAAAGGCAGACUAUGAAAAGAU